rnacentral:RNase_P_RNA from 1 species
CAACUGUAGUAAAUGAUCGCGGCUCACCAUAAUUUUUUAUGGCGGGGUGAGGAAAGUCCGGGCUUCACAGGGCAGGAUGCCGGAUAACGUCCGGUGGAGGCGACUCCAAGGCAAGUGCAACAGAAAUAUACCGCCGGUGCCCCUGCACUGCAGGGAUUCCGGUAAGGGUGGAAGGGUGGUGUAAGAGACCACCGCCUCCACGGUAACGGGGAGGGCACAUGUAAACCCCAUCCGAAGCAAGACCAAAUAGGAAACAACAGGCUUGCCCGGUCUGUUUCCAGGUAGGUCGCUUGAGGCUGCUGGCAACAGCAGUCCUAGAUAGAUGAUCAUUCGUGCCGCCAGAGACUGGCGGUGCUGACAUAA